CCCUUAGAUGUCCUGGGCCGCACGCGCGCUACACUGAGUGUCUGAGAUACGAGUCUGCCUGGUCCGGCAAGGUCUAGGUAAUCGCUAAAAGACACAUCAUGCAUGGGAUAGAUUAUUGCAAAUAUUAAUCUUGAACGAGGAAUUCCUAGUAAGCGCAAGUCAACAGCUUGCGUUGAUUACGUCCCUGCCCUUUGUACACACCGCCCGUCGCUACUACUGAUUGGAUGUUUAAGCGAGGUUCUCGAACUGCUAGCGACUUAGCUUCGGUGAGGUCGCAGUGUGGGAAGUGAACCUAGCUUUGGUGUCUAGAGGAAGUAAAAGUCGUAACA
rnacentral:rRNA from 1 species